GCCGGUCCUCGGUAGUGGUCCCCGGGAACAAUCCCCGUGGACUUCGAUCGAAGACCGGC
rfam:Kutzneria sp. 744 genomic scaffold supercont1.1, whole genome shotgun sequence.